AUUGAACGCUGGCGGCAGGCCUAACACAUGCAAGUCGAGCGGAUGAAGGGAGCUUGCUCCUGGAUUCAGCGGCGGACGGGUGAGUAAUGCCUAGGAAUCUGCCUGGUAGUGGGGGAUAACGUCCGGAAACGGGCGCUAAUACCGCAUACGUCCUGAGGGAGAAAGUGGGGGAUCUUCGGACCUCACGCUAUCAGAUGAGCCUAGGUCGGAUUAGCUAGUUGGUGGGGUAAAGGCCUACCAAGGCGACGAUCCGUAACUGGUCUGAGAGGAUGAUCAGUCACACUGGAACUGGGACACGGUCCAGACUCCUACGGGAGGCAGCGGUGGGGAAUAUUGGACAAUGGGCGAAAGCCUGAUCCAGCCAGGCCGGGGGUGUGAAGAAGGUCUUCGGAUUGUAAAGCACUUUAAGUUGGGAGGAAGGACAGUAAGUUAAUACCUUGCUGUUUUAACGUUACCAACAGAAUAAGCACCGGCUAACUUCGU
rnacentral:rRNA from 1 species